ensembl:lncRNA
CCCAUCCCAUGUUGCAGAAGAAAAAAAAGGGAAAGAUGUGGAGACAGCAAAGGUCAUUCAAGUGCACAGAUGUGGGAUGUUCAGCAUACUGGCCAAAAAGAAAUUCCAAACUCCAGAAAACGUAGCACCAGGAUGGAAUACAUAUAACCACAUCACUAGAAGAAUGACUGUGAGUCUUUAAGGCAGUGCCUAUGGAAAAGAAUAAAAGGCCCAACAGGCGCCGGUAAGAACUGGAUUUUUGUUUCUGUGACACCAUUUGUUUUCUAUUAUGGAUAUUUGCGUCUUAGGUUAACAUUCCUCUGAGAUAAGACCUCAUACCUGAUAACAUUCAUCCCCAGGCCAGGCCACAGAUCUAUGUCCCUGGCACCAUACAACUAUUUCUGUCUGAAAUCCAAAGUACUCCCAAGAACCACAUCACUUUAUCUUUCUCUCUUUCCUUUUUCUUUCUUUCUUUCUUUUUCUUUUUCUUUCUUUUUUUUUAAUAGAGAUCUGGUCAGAAAAAAAUUGCUAGGAAGAGAAAAAUGGAUCACGAUCCUAGAAAGAGACCCUGAGCACGUAUGAAAGAC